UACGUAGGGUCCGAGCGUUGUCCGGAAUUAUUGGGCGUAAAGAGCUCGUAGGCGGCCUGUCGCGUCUGCUGUGAAAGUCCGGGGCUUAACUCCGGGUGUGCAGUGGAUACGGGCAGGCUUGAGGUAGGUAGGGGAGACUGGAAUUCCUGGUGUAGCGGUGAAAUGCGCAGAUAUCAGGAGGAACACCGAUGGCGAAGGCAGGUCUCUGGGCAGUAACUGACGCUGAGGAGCGAAAGCAUGGGCAGCGAACAGGAUUAGA
rnacentral:rRNA from 1 species